UAGCUCAGUGGUAGAGCGCUUGCCUAGCAAGCAAAAGGCCCUGGGUUCGGUCCCCAG
rnacentral:tRNA from 1 species